ACUGGCAGCCCUUCACUUACCAGAAAAAGAGAUGCAGGUGAUAUCACACGUGUUCUCCUGCACACACAUUGUAACAUGAUGAUAUCACAGGCUCCAUUUUCCAGAGAGUGAUUUAAAAAUGGAUCUAUGGAUAAGAAAGACCUGUCGACUUACUCCGUGCCAUUUAAAUAGACUUACAAACCCUGGAAAUUUCAUGCCCAGUCAGAUUCCUGAAUUCAUCUCAUAAGGGCAGGAUUAUGUAAAGAGCACAGUACUUAGUUCACAGACCUCUCCCUCAGAUGGAAUUCUGCAGUGACACCCUCAGGUGUUGAAAAUCCUUUAGGGUCUUUCAGAGAUCCCAUAUUCAAGACCAGUAGAUGUAUUUGUUAGGCUGAAGGCAUUCUCUAGGGUGUUCUAGGAUACUUGGGAGCUGCUAAAUGAUGAAACUUCCAUCACUGAUCUUGUGGUAAAAGAACCUAAAUACACCAUAUCAGUUAGUGACUGAGGUAAAUUUGUUUUCUGCUCUAUAUUUAUACUUACCCAAAUGAGGACUCUGUUGCAGUGUUUUAUGGUCUACCCAUGGACAGAGUGUUGAGGGAUUCACAGCCAUUGAUCUACAAUGUCCCUUCAGCAGCAGCAUCAUCUUUGAACCAAAGGAUAACUCUACUUAUGUAAAUUAAGUUCCUAAGUAAUGAGGACUUUUCAAAGUGAUCUCAAAUUGUGGGUUGUUAAGAAACGGGAGGUAUUACUAUGCCACCUACAGGA